CGCUGUGGCUCAAGUGGGAAGAGGGAUGGCUAUGGUGCAAAAGGUCACGGGUUCGAACACCGGGUAGUGG
ensembl:tRNA